GACGAACGCUGGCGGCGUGCUUAACACAUGCAAGUCGAACGGAAAGACCCUGCUUUUGUGGGGUGCUCGAGUGGCGAACGGGUGAGUAACACGUGAGUAACCUGCCCUUGACUUUGGGAUAACUUCAGGAAACUGGGGCUAAUACCGGAUAGGAGCUCCUGCUGCAUGGUGGGGGUUAGAAAGUUUCGGCGGUUGGGGAUGGACUCGCGGCUUAUCAGCUUGUUGGUGGGGUAGUGGCUUACCAAGGCUUUGACGGGUAGCCGGCCUGAGAGGGUGACCGGCCACAUUGGGACUGAGAUACGGCCCAGACUCCUACGGGAGGCAGCAGUGGGGAAUAUUGCACAAUGGGCGGAAGCCUGAUGCAGCAACGCCGCGUGCGGGAUGACGGCCUUCGGGUUGUAAACCGCUUUCGCCUGUGACGAAGCGUGAGUGACGGUAAUGGGUAAAGAAGCACCGGCUAACUACGUG
rnacentral:rRNA from 1 species